CAUGGUUGUCGUCAGCUCGUGUCGUGAGAUGUGGUUAAGUCCCGCAACGAGCGCAACCCUACUUGCUAGUUACCAUCAUUAAGUUGGGGACUCUAGCGAGACUGCCAGUGAUAAACUGGAGGAAGGUGGGGAUGACGUCAAAUCAUCAUGCCCCUUAUGACCUGGGCUACAAACGUGAUACAAUGGCUGGAACAAAGGGAUGCGAAGCAGUGAUGUGGAGCGAAACCCAUAAAAACAGUCUCAGUUCGGAUUGAAGUCUGCAACUCGACUUCAUGAAGUCGGAAUCGCUAGUAAUCGCGGAUCAGAACGCCGCGGUGAAUACGUUCUCGGGGUUU
rnacentral:rRNA from 1 species